AUGGGAUUGUCUGUCGGCAAGACCAUUCAUGAGGUGAAGGAAGACUUGAAGAGGAAUUAUUUCCCAGCAUUGGUGUUAGAAGGUGGUGUGUGGCCAAGUGUGCAGAUUUUCAAUUUUCGAUAUGUUCCUGUCAAGUACCAGCUUCUGUAUGUAAACUUGUUCUGCUUAUUGGAGAGUUCUUUCUUGUCAUUGUUGGAACAACAGAAGGAUGCACCUUGGAAAAAAUGGUUUCAACCAUUUCAUUCUUCUAAGGGAAAAGCAGCUCUUACAUCUACUGUGUGUUUUCGUAUUAAUUUAGAAUCUUAA